AAUGUCUGGCCGAGCGUCUGAACACGUCUCUGACCUUAUUGUCCAGGCUAUUUUCACUAAUCUUCCCUUUUGUUUUUGGGGUUUUUUUUUUUGCUUCAAAAGCGCGUGGACAUACUAGAGCGAUGUUGGUGAGAUUCUCCAGUGGCUGAAUUUAAUGGAUUUGUUGGUCUCAAUUUCUCCAAUUUAUCUGUUUAUUGCUUUCCACGCAGUCGCACUUCAGUGGAAGGCACACACGGUUGCUGGGAAACGUUUCAAUAUUCCAGUUUCUACGAAAAAUGGUUCAGUGAUCCCCACGCUACUCUCUACAAAACUCACAGAUUGCUCUCGACGUAGCCGGAAAACCCGUUCGUCUCGACUGGAACAAGUCUGACGUUCGUCAAUUGCAAUCGCUCCAGCCCAUUUUUUUUUUGCUGGUCUUGAGAAAAAGAUGGCAAAACGAUUCGAAUCUUCGUGAACAAUUUUGGGCCAGCUGAGCAGAUUCCUUUCGAAUAUCUGCGUUCUUUAUUGUGAACGUGCCAACAACAGCUGGCGCGUUCAAUCGAUUUGAACGAUAGCAAAGAUUCCAGAUUUGUCAACGCGUGCAACAAACCUGCAGCCAAGGAUAUUGAUGAUGCAAAAAUUUCACAACAUCGGUCAUGUUCCCUUUUUCGAUUGCCCGUGUUCAGAGAUGUUGCGUUGUUACUCAACGUGAACCAUCAAUCUAUUCUUUUCACGCAAGUGUAGAUUUAUCUGGCGAAGACCCACCGUAUUUCAACAACCAAAGAAAAAGAAAAACCUAUCGUUUUGUUAUGGCUUUUAAAAUGUGGAAGGAAACCUGCUGACCACCAUAUGAGACUACUAUACGCACAACCAAUUUCUCUUUAUCUGUACGAUAGCAGGAAUUGGAUUUGUUUGAGUGGCACAUGCCAGAGGAAAAACCUUUUGCGAGAGCUAGGCAAUUAAAGUAAACUAUCAAAUAAUCUAAAUGCCUAGGAAAAAUAGGAAAUGUAUAAUGUUUUUUGGUGGAAUCACUAGGUCCCCUAUAACUGAUAGGGCUUCAUAUCUUAAAAUGAAAUGGCACCUCCCAACUUUCUCAAAAUGUUUGGCACCUGUUCAACGUGAUCAUACGAUAUGAGGUUUUAUUUCUUAUUUUCUUACAAUAUUUAAAAGCUUCAGAAAAAAAAUCUACUGAGCACUCACUGCCAGUUAUUCGAGUUUCUGUUUCAUUUCGGCUUAUUAUUCUUCCUACAAAUCUUUUUACCUUUACGUGUUCAAUAAGGCAUCACUGUCUUUGAGAGAGAAUAUUAUACGUGUUAUGUGGAA